UUGAGGGUCAGUAUUAAAUGAAAGGACAGGUGGCUAAAGAGUGGAUUGGAGACGGGGAUGUUGGAUGCAUGAGGAUUGUCCAGAUGACGAUUUAUGUGUUGCGUUGGAUGGAUUAAUAUAGGGGUCCCUGCAUAGAUACACGAAAUACACGCGCGAGAGAGCACCGUUGAUGGUUUUUAGGUGCUGUGACAGGUGGUUUGAUGCACAGAAUUAACGAAUAGUACAGGAAUUUCAUCAUUGGGGAAAAUACAAUCAUAAAGUCACAUGUGAAGAUGAAUGAAAAGAUGAGUGGACUAUAGAGUGAUACAGGCUAAUUUAUUAAAUGAAGGAAGUUUAGCGGUUGGGUAAUCAAAAUAAUAUAAAUAGAGCAGUGUUCUCUUACAUUGAUUUUUAAAUAUCUUAAUUUGGGGGCUCUUAGGAGAUUGAUCAAAGAGCGAACUUGACCUUGUGUUUUGUGUUCAUGUAAUAUAUCACAUUUUCCCAUAUUUUCCACAGUUAUAACAGGUGUUCCCAGUGUAAGAAGUGAGACAUCUUAGAUGCUGACAUUUCUAGAUCAAUCCAAAUUCUAGUUCUUGUUAUAUCAUUUCUGUGGACUUGAUCUUCAAAAAUGCCGCAUCUUCCCUAAGCAAGGACCAAAGAGAAUUUGACUGCAGGUGGUGGACAUGUGGACAACAGGAUCAUAGAUUCCUUCUGGAGUGGUUCCAUCCCCAGCAUCACCCAGAUUCUGUCAUUAUUUCCCCCUGAGAAGCUUCCUGCAGCUUUGUUUCUCCAGGGGCACAACUUUUUUAUACGUGUCUUCAGGAAUAGAACUGACCUGCUUUCUGGCAAGUAAUUGCCUGGAAUGUUACGUACUUCACUGUGCUCUGAAUAUAUCGUGUGCUUUCUUCUAUUUUAACUACCCCACUGCAUUUUUAAAGACCCAUGUUUUAAAUUACAUAUGGGAUUGAGAGAUGGGCAUGGUAAAUGUAAUGAUGCGACCGAUGGACACCUGGGUGACGCCCCACAUAAUAGCCAGGCUUUCUCACAGGCUAGGUGUUUCCCAUGGGCCAUUUUGGUACUAUUUAUGGGAGACUUUGUUUCUCAUUUGACUCACGAGCCCAGUUUUUAGAGGUUUCUGAAACGUGCAUUCCUGCAAUAAACGAUUGGAAGUUUCCCUGUUUAUUGAACCUGGUAGCUUUCAUUUUAGAUUUGAAUUUUCAAUUGACCUCUUUCCCAAUGGCCCAUCAUUAGACUUGACUGCUACCAUCCCUUGGAUAGUGUAAGGGAGAGUCAGAGUCCUGUACUGACACUUGAGCCAUGGUGAUGUUAUCAUUUUCUUGACAUCACUGGAAUUUUCUUCUUUGGGAUUGGAGUAAACAGCACCAGGCACCAAAGAGAUUUCACAGUCACCUCCAU